ensembl:lncRNA
UCCAUAUAUACUGUGGAGGCCAAGUGACUUCCUAAAAGAAAGAUGAAAUUGUAGCCACUAACAUAAUCUAGGGUUCAUGGCUUUAAAUGAGAACAAAAUAAUAAUAAGGAACAGUUAUUGAUCUCUUACUGUAUGCCUGGCUCUUGGUUAAAUUAUGUGCAUUAUCUGAUUUAAUCUUCAUGUGAGAAUCACAAAGAUCCUUAUAAGAGGGACACAGGAAUCAUCAGAGCCAGAAGAGGAGGGAGUGUGAUAACAGAAGCAGAGAAUGGAGUGACACACUUAAAGGUAGAAGAAGGGACCAUAAGACUCUACAUGGCCACUCCAAGCUAAAAAAAGAAAGUAGCAGAUGCUCUCCUCAGUCUCUAAAAAGAAACAAGCCUGAAUGACACAUUGACUUUAGCUCAGUUGUGUAGUCAGCUUUCCUUUACUCUACAAAAAAAUCUGAGAUUGUACACCUAUGCCAGUCCAUGUAUCUGUGGCAAAGCCUCCUCACCGUGCUGGGACUCUCACACCUGGCUCGAGCAUCCUUCUUACCUGGGGGCUCUCCUUAGCCUCUUAGCCCGUGUUACCCUCUGUGCCAAGGAGACAGCCCACCCUGAGCUGCUGCCUUCACUCCAGAGCGGCCCAACACUCUCUGCCCUACUGGUUUCAGGACUGAACUGUUCCAGUAAAAAAGGAAAAGAGGAAGAGAAAGGAGAAGAGGAAUAUUUGCUUUCUUAGGACCAGAUCAUCACCAUGACAAAUUCUUAGUCAACUCCUAAGUUAAUGGAAGAGCUGGCUUCCGAUCAAGUUUAUUUUGGAAACCAUUUCUGAGCAAUGAUGACAAAGAUCUUCGGUGGAUAUGGGUCCAGAUAGAACCUAGGAAGCCUGGCAUCUGGUCUUGCCUUGCACUUUACCAGUUGUGUGAAGCCUAUUGUUCUACCUCUAGUCCUUUGUACAGUAGAG